rnacentral:tmRNA from 1 species
GGGGCUGACCGGUUUCGACGCCGGUAACGGAAUCCGAAGUGCAUGCCGAGGUGUCAUGUCCUCGUAAAUCCCGUGGCAACCAAGCUAGUUGCGAACGACUCCAACUACGCCCUCGCCGCCUAAAUCCCGGUGAGCGUCCAUCCUUUCAGUGCCGAUACUGGCUGGAAUGGGCGUCGACUCUUAUCGGAUCGUGGUGAAGCCCGCCCUUGGCCGAUCUGCUAAAACCCUAAGGGGAUAAGCGCCGGCGAUCCGUGCCUGUCCGGGAGCCGACGACGAAAACCAAAGACCGGGCUAAGCAUGUAGAUCUGAGGGCUACGAUCUGGCGGACGGGGGUUCAAUUCCCCCCAGCUCCACCA